AUCGUCCUACGGGGGGCAGCAGUAGGGAAUAUUGGGCAAUGGGCGCAAGCCUGACCCAGCAACGCCGCGUGAAGGAAGAAGGCCCUCGGGUUGUAAACUUCUUUUAUCAAGGACGAAACAAAUGACGGUACUUGAUGAAUAAGCCACGGCUAACUACGUGCCAGCAGCCGCGGUAAUACGUAGGUGGCAAGCGUUAUCCGGAUUUACUGGGUGUAAGGGCGUGUAGGCGGGACUGCAAGUCAGAUGUUAAAACCAUGGGCUCAACCCAUUGCCUGCAUUUUAAACUGUAGUUCUUGAGUGUUGGG
rnacentral:rRNA from 1 species